rnacentral:rRNA from 1 species
AACGAACGCUGGCGGCAGGCUUAACACAUGCAAGUCGAGCGCCCCGCAAGGGGAGCGGCAGACGGGUGAGUAACGCGUGGGAACGUACCCUUUGCUACGGAAUAGCUCCGGGAAACUGGAAUUAAUACCGUAUGUGCCCUUCGGGGGAAAGAUUUAUCGGCAAAGGAUCGGCCCGCGUUGGAUUAGCUAGUUGGUGGGGUAAAGGCCUACCAAGGCGACGAUCCAUAGCUGGUCUGAGAGGAUGAUCAGCCACAUUGGGACUGAGACACGGCCCAAACUCCUACGGGAGGCAGCAGUGGGGAAUAUUGGACAAUGGGCGCAAGCCUGAUCCAGCCAUGCCGCGUGAGUGAUGAAGGCCUUAGGGUUGUAAAGCUCUUUCACCGGUGAAGAUAAUGACGGUAACCGGAGAAGAAGCCCCGGCUAACUUCGUGCCAGCAGCCGCGGUAACAC